AUUGAACGCUGGCGGCAGGCUUAACACAUGCAAGUCGAGCGGGGUGAUGGUGCUUGCACUAUCACUUAGCGGCGGACGGGUGAGUAAUGCUUAGGAAUCUGCCUAUUAGUGGGGGACAACACCUCGAAAGGGAUGCUAAUACCGCAUACGUCCUACGGGAGAAAGCAGGGGAUCACUUGUGACCUUGCGCUAAUAGAUGAGCCUAAGUCGGAUUAGCUAGUUGGUGGGGUAAAGGCCUACCAAGGCGACGAUCUGUAGCGGGUCUGAGAGGAUGAUCCGCCACACUGGGACAGGGACACGGCCCAGACUCCUACGGGAGGCAGCAGUGGGGAAUAUUGGACGAUGGGGGGAACCCUGAUCCAGCCAUGCCGCGUGUGUGAAGAAGGCCUUAUGGUUGUAAAGCACUUUAAGCGAGGAGGAGGCUCUUUUGGUUAAUACCCAAGAUGAGUGGACGUUACUCGCAGAAUAAGUACCGGCUAACUCUGUGCCAGCCGCCGCCGUAA
rnacentral:rRNA from 1 species